AACCACUCACGCCCAGCGUGGUAUUGGGGCACGCGGUCUCGCGGCCCUCAAAAUUAGUGGCGGCGCCGGUGGGCUCUAAGCGUAGUACAUACUCCCGCUAUAGAGUUCCCCCGGUGGCUCGCCAGAACCCCCCGAUUUUUUACA
rnacentral:misc_RNA from 1 species